ACCACUGCUUCAUCUCAUCAGGA
rnacentral:piRNA from 1 species